rnacentral:rRNA from 1 species
UACGUAGGGUGCAAGCGUUGUCCGGAAUUAUUGGGCGUAAAGAGCUCGUAGGCGGUUUGUCGCGUCUGCUGUGAAAACUGGAGGCUCAACCUCCAGCCUGCAGUGGGUACGGGCAGACUAGAGUGCGGUAGGGGAGAUUGGAAUUCCUGGUGUAGCGGUGGAAUGCGCAGAUAUCAGGAGGAACACCGAUGGCGAAGGCAGAUCUCUGGGCCGUAACUGACGCUGAGGAGCGAAAAGCAUGGGGAGCGAACAGG